GGCGAGGGGAGUGAAAAAGAACCUGAAACCGUGUACGUACAAGCAGUAGGAGCCCCACCACCAAAGCGUUUCGCUUUACGUGGUGCGCAAAAUGCGUAACGACAGCAUGAUGGACGGUUAACGGAGCGUAAGCGACGUUCAACAUCCAGAAUCAGGCAGUGGAGCGUUUUGGGGUGGGGUGACUGCGUACCUUUUGUAUAAUGGGUCAGCGACUUAUAUUCUGUAGCAAGGUUAACCGUAUAGGGGAGCCGCAGGGAAACCGAGUCUUAACUGGGCGUUAAGUUGCAGGGUAUAGACCCGAAACCCGGUGAUCUAGCCAUGGGCAGGUUGAAGGUUGGGUAACACUAACUGGAGGACCGAACCGACUAAUGUUGAAAAAUUAGCGGAUGACUUGUGGCUGGGGGUGAAAGGCCAAUCAAACCGGGAGAUAGCUGGUUCUCCCCGAAAGCUAUUUAGGUAGCGCCUCGUGAACUCAUCUUCGGGGGUAGAGCACUGUUUCGGCUAGGGGGUCAUCCCGACUUACCAACCCGAUGCAAACUACGAAUACCGAAGAAUGUUAUCACGGGAGACACACGGCGGGUGCUAACGUCCGUCGUGAAGAGGGAAACAACCCAGACCGCCAGCUAAGGUCCCAAAGUCAUGGUUAAGUGGGAAACGAUGUGGGAAGGCCCAGACAGCCAGGAUGUUGGCUUAGAAGCAGCCAUCAUUUAAAGAAAGCGUAAUAGCUCACUGGUCGAGUCGGCCUGCGCGGAAGAUGUAACGGGGCUAAACCAUGCACCGAAGCUGCGGCAGCGACACUAUGUGUUGUUGGGUAGGGGAGCGUUCUGUAAGCCGUUGAAGGUGGCCUGUGAGGGUUGCUGGAGGUAUCAGAAGUGCGAAUGCUGACAUAAGUAACGAUAAUGCGGGUGAAAAACCCGCACGCCGGAAGACCAAGGGUUCCUGUCCAACGUUAAUCGGGGCAGGGUGAGUCGACCCCUAAGGCGAGGCCGAAAGGCGUAGUCGAUGGGAAACAGGUUAAUAUUCCUGUACUCGGUGUUACUGCGAAGGGGGGACGGAGAAGGCUAUGUUGGCCGGGCGACGGUUGUCCCGGUUUAAGCAUGUAGGCGGAUGUUCCAGGUAAAUCCGGAACGUUAUCAACGCUGAGGUGUGAUGACGAGGCACUACGGUGCUGAAGUGACAAAUGCCCUGCUUCCAGGAAAAGCCUCUAAGCAUCAGGUAACAUCAAAUCGUACCCCAAACCGACACAGGUGGUCAGGUAGAGAAUACCAAGGCGCUUGAGAGAACUCGGGUGAAGGAACUAGGCAAAAUGGUGCCGUAACUUCGGGAGAAGGCACGCUGAUGGUAGGUGAAGCGACUUGCUCGUGGAGCUGAAAUCAGUCGAAGAUACCAGCUGGCUGCAACUGUUUAUUAAAAACACAGCACUGUGCAAACACGAAAGUGGACGUAUACGGUGUGACGCCUGCCCGGUGCCGGAAGGUUAAUUGAUGGGGUUAUCCUCACGGAGAAGCUCUUGAUCGAAGCCCCGGUAAACGGCGGCCGUAACUAUAACGGUCCUAAGGUAGCGAAAUUCCUUGUCGGGU
rnacentral:rRNA from 1 species